rnacentral:rRNA from 1 species
CGGGAAUUUUGGGCAAUGGGCGAAAGCCUGACCCAGCAACGCCGCGUGAGGGAUGAAGUAUUUCGGUAUGUAAACCUCGAAAGAAUGGGAAGAAUAAAUGACGGUACCAUUAUAAGCUCCGGCUAACUACGUGCCAGCAGCCGCGGUAAUACGUAGGGAGCAAGCGUUGUUCGGAUUUACUGGGCGUAAAGGGCGCGUAGGCGGCGCGGUAAGUCACUUGUGAAAUCUCUGAGCUUAACUCAGAACGGCCAAGUGAUACUGCUGUGCUAGAGUGCGGAAGAGGCAACCGGAAUUCUUGGUGUAGCGGUGAAAUGCGUAGAUAUCAAGAGGAACACCUGAGGCGAAGGCGGGUUGCUGGGCCGACACUGACGCUGAUGCGCGAAAGCCAGGGGAGCAAACG